rnacentral:rRNA from 1 species
GAGCUUUAGACGAGGGAAUAAAGUUAGCCAGCAUCAAGGACGAACGAUAGAGAGUCCUUUGCGCGUUAAAAAGUGUGCUAACACAGAGUUGUCUGAAUGUUGAGUGUUGAAUAUCUGAUUAGUGGCGGACGGGUGAGUAACGCGUGGGGAACCUGCCCUAUACAGGGGGAUAGCCUCGGGAAACCGGGAUUAAUACCCCAUAAAACUCUAGUAUCGCAUGAUACGUGAGUCAAAGCUGAGGCGGUAUAGGAUGGCCCCGCGUCUGAUUAGCUAGUUGGUGAGGUAACGGCUCACCAAGGCGACGAUCAGUAGCCGGCCUGAGAGGGUGGACGGCCACACUGGAACUGAGACACGGUCCAGACUCCUACGGGAGGCAGCAGUGGGGAAUAUUGCACAAUGGGGGGAACCCUGAUGCAGCGACGCCGCGUGAGCGAAGAAGGCCUUCGGGUCGUAAAGCUCUGUCCUAAGGGAAGAAAAGGACGGUACCUUAGGAGGAAGCCCCGGCUAACUACGUG